rnacentral:rRNA from 1 species
CUGCUGCCUCCCGUAGGAGUUUGGGCCGUGUCUCAGUCCCAAUGUGGCCGAUCAACUUCUCAAUUCGGCUACGCAUCAUUGCCUUGGUAAGCCUUUACCCUACCAACUAGCUAAUGCGCCGCGGGCCCAUCCAAAAGCGGUAGUAUAGCCACCUUUUACAUAGUUACCAUGCGGUAACUAUGGUUAUGCGGUAUUAGCACCUGUUUCCAAGUGUUAUCCCCCUCUUUUGGGCAGGUUGCCCACGUGUUACUCACCCGUUCGCCACU